rnacentral:lncRNA from 1 species
GUUGGUUUGAUUGAAAAAAGAUUUAUUUUCUAGUCGUAUUCUUUUACUGCUUGCUCCGUGUUUGUGGAGCAGCACACGAAGCUUAUUGUACAGUAAUAAAAUAUACCAAUGCAUCACAUUUUUGUUAGAACGUUUUGUAUUGGUAUAAUGUUUGAGUUAUGACCCUGCUGAGAGAGUUACUAUUUUACUAUAGUCUAUGUUUGACAUGGAUAGAUGUGUAAAUUCGAGCUGCACCUUUCCUGGUGCCCUUUUUUUUUUUUUUUUUUUUUUUU